AUGGCKCAUUAAAACAGUUAUAGUUUACUUGAUAAUCGAAUUUUAUAUGGAUAACCGUAGUAAUUCUAGAGCUAAUACAUGCUGUUAAACCUGACUUUUCKGAAAGGUUGUAUUUAUUAGAUAUUAAACCAGCAGCUUCGGCUUCUGUGAUGAUUCAUAAUAACUGAUCGGAGCGAAGCAAGUCUUCGCUAAAUCAUUCAAGUUUCUGCCCUAUCACUUUGAUGGUAGUGUAUUGGACUACCAUGAGGAUUACGGGUACGAGGAAUUAGGGUUUGAUAUCGGAGAGGGAGCCUGAGAAACGGCUACCACUUCUAAGGAAGGCAGCAGGCGCGUAAAUUACCCAAUCCCAAUUCGGGGAGGUAGUGACAAGAAAUAAUAACUCGGGUAGUGAAUACUAUUACGAGAUUAAAAUGAGAACAAUUUAACGACCUUAUCGAGGAACAAUGAGAGGACAAGUCUGGUGCCAGCACCCGCGGUAAUUCCAGCUCUUAUAGUGUAUAUUAAAGUUGUUGCAGUUAAAAAGCUC
rnacentral:rRNA from 1 species